rnacentral:rRNA from 1 species
GUCAUUAUUGAGGUUAAAUUUUUGGUUAUUAUGAAAUAUUGGGUUAGUAUAGUGAGUGAGGAUUAAGGAGUUUUUUUAGGUUAGGAGUACUGUUUAGGAAUUAAAUUUGUUUGUGAAUAAUAUUAGGUUUUUUAGUACCUUUUGUAUUAGGGUUUUUUAAUGUGUUUUAAUAUUAGUUUUGUCUCGAUGAAUAUCGGGCUAUUUUGCUUGGUGUUGUUUUUGUUGAAUAAAAUCAAUUAUGGUCUAAUAGUUAUGAAAUAUUAUUCAAGUUAUUUUUUAUCUAGUUUUCUAAGAAGUGUAAUUAAAAGUAUUUAUAUUAUUAAAAUAUGUUGGGAUUAGCUGGCUUAUUUUUUAUAUGUUAAAUUAAUCUGUUUUUAUUAGUGGAGUUAAAAGUUCUUAUUUAUAGGGUGUUAUUAUUUAUUAAAGGCUUGAUCUUAUUAUUUUUUAAUAUUAUGUGGGAAUUGGGGGUAUCAGUUGAAUUUGGAGUUGAUGUUAUAAUGAUAAAAUUAGUAAUAUUGAUUGUUAAGUGGUUAGUAUGUAGAGGUUUUUGGUGGUUAAAGGAUUGGAUAUUAAUAUUGGAGAAUUAGGCAAAGUUAGCUUUUGACUGUUUAGCAAAAACAUUGUUUUUUGUUGUUGUAAGAAAUAAGGUCUGUCCACUGCUUAGGGGUGAAGGGCUGCAGUAUUUUGACUGUAUGAAGGUAGCAUAAUCAUUAGUUUUUUAAUUGGAAGCUGGUAUGAAGGUGAAACAGGGGCUUGCUAUUUUGAUAUUAGUUAGUGAAUUUUAUUUUUAUGUGAAAAAUCAUAAUUUAAUUAAAGGGACAAGAAGACCCUAGUAAGUUUUAUUUUUUAUUGUGAGGGGUAUGUAGUUUGUUUAAUUAAUAUGAUUUAUGGUUUUAGAGUUUGACUGGGGCGGUAUGUAAUUAAACAUUAUUUAAUUUUUAAUAUUUGUUAGCGUUGUAUUAGACCUGAGUUGGUCAGUUGAAGGUUAAACUACUGUAGGGAUAACAGCGUAAUUUUUUUUAAGAGUUCUUAUUGACGGGAAA